rnacentral:rRNA from 1 species
CAGCGACGCCGCGUGGAGGAUGCGGCUUCGGGUUGUAAACUCCUGUCAGGUGGGAAGAAGAGCCAGUCGGAUAAUACCCGGCUGGAAUUGACGGUACCACCAAAGGAAGCCCCGGCUAACUCCGUGCCAGCAGCCGCGGUAAUACGGAGGGGGCAAGCGUUAUUCGGAUUUACUGGGCGUAAAGCGCACGUAGGUGGCAUCGUAAGUCAAAGGUGAAAGCCCUCGGCUCAACCGAGGAAUUGCCUUUGAAACUGCUGUGCUUGAGUCCGGGAGGGGGGAGCGGAAUUCCCAGUGUAGCGGUGAAAUGCGUAGAUACUGGGAGGGAACACCGGUGGGCGAAAGCGGCUCCCUGGACCGGUACUGACACUGAGGUGCGAAAGCGUGGGUACAAACAGGAUUAGAUACCUGGUAGUCCACGCCGUAAACGAUGGCACUAGGUGCACGGGUGUCAACCCUGCUGUGCCGUAUUACGCAUUAAGUGCCCCCCUGGGGANUACGGUC